CUACGGGGGAUGCGAGCGUUAUCCGGAUUUAUUGGGUUUAAAGGGAGCGUAGGCGGGAGCUUAAGUCAGCGGUUAAAUGGUGCGGCUCAACCGUGCCCUGCCGUUGAAACUGGGUUUCUUGAGAGUGCAAGAGGCGGAUGGAAUUCAUGGUGUAGCGGUGAAAUGCUUAGAUAUCAUGAAGAACUCCGAUUGCGAAGGCAGUCCGCUGGGGCACGUCUGACGCUGAUGCUCGAAGGUGCGGGAAUCAAACAGGAUUAGAUACCCUGGUAGUCCGCACGGUAAACGAUGAUUACCCGCUGUCGGCGGCAGACAGUCGGCGGCCAAGCGAAAGCGAUAAGUAAUCCACCUGGGGAGUACGCCGGCAACGGUGAAACUCAAAUGAAUUGACGGGG
rnacentral:rRNA from 1 species